UCAGGAAUAUUGGACAAUGGGUGAGAGCCUGAUCCAGGCAUCCCGCGUGAAGGACGACGGCCCUAUGGGUUGUAAACUUCUUUUGUAUAGGGAUAAACCUACCCUCGUGAGGGUAGCUGAAGGGACUAUACGAAUAAGCACCGGCUAACUCCGAG
rnacentral:rRNA from 1 species